UACAGAGGGGGCAAGCGUUGUUCGGAAUUACUGGGCGUAAAGGGCGCGUAGGCGGCCUUCUAAGUCGAACGUGAAAUCCCCGGGCUCAACCCGGGAACUGCGUCCGAUACUGGAAGGCUUGAAUCCGGGAGAGGGAUGCGGAAUUCCAGGUGUAGCGGUGAAAUGCGUAGAUAUCUGAAGGAACAUCAGUGGCGAAAGCGACUUCCUGGACCAAUACUGACGCUGAGACGCGAAAGCGUGGGGAGCGAACAGG
rnacentral:rRNA from 1 species